AACCCUGAACGGCGGAUCACUUGGCUCGUGGAUCGAUGAAGAACGCAGCUAACUGCGCGUCGACGUGUGAACUGCAGGACAUACGAACAUCGACGCUUCGAACGCACAUUGCGGUCCUUGGAAAAUAAUCGUUCCCGGACCACGCCUGUCUGAGGGUCG
rfam:Pediculus humanus corporis strain TSDA 1103172096328, whole genome shotgun sequence.